GCACACCACCUGUCACCCCGUGUGACUUGUAGAUUUUCUGUUGUUUGUUCCACAGAUACCUCGUAAUCUGAAGAAACCAGCAGAAUGCAUCAGUGUCAGAGUUGGCUCUUGUAGCGCAUGCAAGUUGAUCAUAAGCAGAAAACCAGAAGCGGCAGUGGUCUCCAGAAGAGACCCAAGGACCCCAAGCUCUCUGUGACACAAACAGGAAGGGCACUGUGGUGCAUUGAAAACCUGCACCAGUAGUGCAUUACCAGUGCACUAUGCUGCUGUUUCAUCAAGGAGAAAGGAGGUGACCACCCCCAGAGGAACUUCAUGCUCUACAGUAUGCUUUUGAAUGUCACGUGGAGAAGUGUGGAAGGCGUUCCUCCAUGGCAGAGCGGUGACCGGAGCGUGAGCU
rnacentral:lncRNA from 1 species